GCGCCUCUAGCUCCGUUGGAUAGAGCGUCUGGCUACGGACCAGAAGGUCGGGGGUUCGAAUCCCUCGGGGCGCG
rnacentral:tRNA from 1 species